rnacentral:rRNA from 1 species
UACGUAGGGGGCGAGCGUUGUCCGGAAUCAUUGGGCGUAAAGCGCGUGUAGGCGGCUCGGUAAGUCUGCUGUGAAAGUCCAGGGCUCAACCCUGGGAUGCCGGUGGAUACUGUCGAGCUCGAGUCCGGAAGAGGCGAGUGGAAUUCCUGGUGUAGCGGUGAAAUGCGCAGAUAUCAGGAGGAACACCAAUGGCGAAGGCAGCUCGCUGGACGUGACUGACGCUGAGACGCGAAAGCGUGGGGGAGCAAACAGG